rnacentral:rRNA from 1 species
UACAAUGGAGAGUUUGAUCCUGGCUCAGGAUGAACGCUAGCGGCAGGCCUAAUACAUGCAAGUCGAGGGGUAGAGUUAGCUUGCUAACUUGAGACCGGCGCACGGGUGCGUAACGCGUAUGCAAUCUACCUUUAUCUGGGGGAUAGCCCGAAGAAAUUCGGAUUAACACCGCAUAAAAUCACAGUACGGCAUCGUACAAUGAUCAAAUAUUUAUAGGAUAGAGAUGAGCAUGCGUGUCAUUAGUUAGUUGGCGGGGUAACGGCCCACCAAGACCACGAUGACUAGGGGAUCUGAGAGGAUGACCCCCCACACUGGUACUGAGACACGGACCAGACUCCUACGGGAGGCAGCAGUAAGGAAUAUUGGUCAAUGGAGGCAACUCUGAACCAGCCA